ACCUGAGUGGCUAAGUCAGUUGAGCAUCUGACUUCUGCUCAGGUCAUGAUCUCACAGUUUGUGGGUUCAAGCCCCGCAUCAGGCU
rnacentral:tRNA from 1 species